rnacentral:lncRNA from 1 species
GGUUGAACAAGCCAUGGCGAGAGAAGUCGGUACACAGAACAGCUUGAUCACCUAGCUCGCUUUUACUCUUCUUCUUUGACUUCCACAGUUUCGAUAUCCCCCUUAUUUUUACUCAUUCUUGUUGGAAAAGUGGAGAAAUUGAUACUUGAGACUUUUUCUUUUCUGCAGCUCGAUAAGUUGGCUGGGAGACUAGAAUAAGUUGAAAUGAUGAGUCAUAGCAGGGAGGGACAGAUUAGUUUAUUCUCUGCAUUCAAUACAACUUUUGUUUGGUCGGCAAUGGAGUUUGAUAAAAAUUGUUUAUUUGUUGGGAUACAAAGUAUUAGUGGG